AUGCGUAGGCUUUUUGGUGUGUCCUCUGUUAAAUCCUUCAAGCUCAACUGAAGAUAUGCAUAGGAAACUACCAAAAUAGAGACAGAGAGAGGGAAGUGGAAUUCCCGGUGGAGCGGUGAAAUGCGUUGAUAUCGGGAGGAACACCAGUGGCGAAGGCGACUUCCUGGCUCUGUUCUGACGCUAAGGCUCGAAAGCGUGGGUAGCAAAAC
rnacentral:rRNA from 1 species